UUGCAGAGGCUUUUACAUCAGAACAUCUGUAAAUCUUCUUCUCUCUGUCGGUGGAUGACGGGAGUCGUGGUCCUGAUGAUGGCACUUGUGAUGCCUCUUCAGCCCACACUUUGAGAAACCUGCUCUACAUUUCCUCACAUGGCGCUGUUGCAGACAUCCACCUCCCAGUAAUACUGUCCUCUGGAGAUGCUCACACUGCCGCAAACCUGAGGAAGCGGACCAG